CACACGACUCUCGGCAACGGAUAUCUCGGCUCUCGCAUCGAUGAAGAACGUAGCGAAAUGCGAUACCUGGUGUGAAUUGCAGAAUCCCGCGAACCAUCGAGUCUUUGAACGCAAGUUGCGCCCGAGUCCUUUUGGCCGAGGGCACGCCUGCCUGGGCGUCACG
rnacentral:rRNA from 2 species